CCCGUGAUCCGGGUUGCGGACAGUGUCUGGUGGGUAGUUUGACUGGGGCGGUCUCCUCCUAAAGAGUAACGGAGGAGCACGAAGGUUGGCUAAUCCUGGUCGGACAUCAGGAGGUUAGUGCAAUGGCAUAAGCCAGCUUGACUGCGAGCGUGACGGCGCGAGCAGGUGCGAAAGCAGGUCAUAGUGAUCCGGUGGUUCUGAAUGGAAGGGCCAUCGCUCAACGGAUAAAAGGUACUCCGGGGAUAACAGGCUGAUACCGCCCAAGAGUUCAUAUCGACGGCGGUGUUUGGCACCUCGAUGUCGGCUCAUCACAUCCUGGGGCUGAAGUAGGUCCCAAGGGUAUGGCUGUUCGCCAUUUAAAGUGGUACGCGAGCUGGGUUUAGAACGUCGUGAGACAGUUCGGUCCCUAUCUGCCGUGGGCGCUGGAGAACUGAGGGGGGCUGCUCCUAGUACGAGAGGACCGGAGUGGACGCAUCACUGGUGUUCGGGUUGUCAUGCCAAUGGCACUGCCCGGUAGCUAAAUGCGGAAGAGAUAAGUGCUGAAAGCAUCUAAGCACGAAACUUGCCCCGAG
rnacentral:rRNA from 1 species